rnacentral:rRNA from 1 species
UACGGAGGGUGCAAGCGUUAUCCGGAUUCACUGGGUUUAAAGGGUGCGUAGGCGGGUAUAUAAGUCAGUGGUGAAAGCUCCGAGCUUAACUUGGAAUCUGCCAUUGAUACUGUAUAUCUUGAAUAUCGUAGAGGUUAGCGGAAUGUUGCAUGUAGCGGUGAAAUGCUUAGAUAUGUUACAGAACACCAAUUGCGAAGGCAGCUAACUAUGCGACAAUUGACGCUGAGGCACGAAAGCGUGGGGAGCAAACAGG